UACGGAGGGUGCGAGCGUUGUCCGGAAUCACUGGGCGUAAAGGGCGCGUAGGCGGCUCAUGAAGGCUGUGGUGAAAGUCCGGGGCUCAACCUCGGAUCGGCCGUGGCGACUCGUGGGCUGGAGCACUGUAGAGGCGGGUGGAAUUCCGGGUGUAGCGGUGGAAUGCGUAGAGAUCCGGAAGAACACCGGUGGCGAAGGCGGCCUGCUGGGCAGUUCGCUGACACUGAGGCGCGACAGCGUGGGGAGCAACAGG
rnacentral:rRNA from 1 species